GGGUAGGUGGAAUGUGGCUGCCCCUGCGUCAAUUGGCGUAGGGGAGGAAAGUCCGGGCUCCGGAGGACAACGUAAUGGCUAACAGCCAUCCCUCGGUGAUAAACCGGGGAGGAUUAGAGCUACAGAGACGAGCCCCCGCGCCUUGGUGCGGGGGAGUGAAACGAGCAAUCUCUACGUGGAGCAAGGUUCAAUAGGGGAUGAGCUUCGUAAAGAAAUUUAUGAGGCAGGUGCUGGUCCGGCGCGUUAUUAAUCCCGGGUAGACUGCUUGAGUCCCGGCAGAAAUGCCGAGGAACAGAGAAAUGGUCACUAAUGGUGCGGAUAUUCGUACUGAAACAGAACCCGGCUUAUUCUUCUUGCCCCAAU
rnacentral:RNase_P_RNA from 1 species